UAUGCAGCGUUGUUGUAGUCAUGUCGGUCCCAGAAUAAUAGAGACACAAGAUGGGUGAGGUAAUAUUUUUUUAUUGGACCAACUUCUGUAGGUCAAAGAGACA